GACGAACGCUGGCGGCGUGCUUAACACAUGCAAGUCGAACGGAAAGACCCUGCGUUUGUGGGGUGCUCGAGUGGCGAACGGGUGUGUAACACGUGAGUAUCCUGCCCUUGACUUUGGGAUAACUUCAGGAAACUGGGGCUAAUACCCGAUAGGAUCUCCUGCUGCGUGGUGGGGGUUGGAAAGUUUCGGCGGUUGGGGCUGGACUCGCGGCUUAUCAGCUUGUUGGUGGGGUAGUGGCUUACCAAGGCUUUGACGGGUAGCCGGCCUGGGAGGGUGACCGGCCACAUUGGGACUGAGGUACGGACCAGACUCGUACGGGAGGCAGCAGUCGGGAAUAUUGCACAGUGGGCGGAAGCCUGAUACAGAGACGCCGCGUGCGGGAUGACGGCCUUCGGGUUGUAAACCGCUUUCGCCUGUGACGAAGCGUGAGUGACGGUAAUGGGUAAAGAAGCACCGGCUAACUACGUG
rnacentral:rRNA from 1 species